CAGUCGAGCGAGUCUGCCUUGAAGAUCGGAGUGCUUGCACUCUGUGAAACAAGAUACAGGCUAGCGGCGGACGGGUGAGUAACACGUGGGUAACCUGCCCAAGAGAUCGGGAUAACACCUGGAAACAGAUGCUAAUACCGGAUAACAACAGAUGAUGCCUAUCAACUGUUUAAAAGAUGGUUCUGCUAUCACUCUUGGAUGGACCUGCGGUGCAUUAGCUAGUUGGUAGGGUAACGGCCUACCAAGGCGAUGAUGCAUAGCCGAGUUGAGAGACUGAUCGGCCACAUUGGGACUGAGACACGGCCCAAACUCCUACGGGAGGCAGCAGUAGGGAAUCUUCCACAAUGGACGCAAGUCUGAUGGAGCAACGCCGCGUGAGUGAAGAAGGGUUUCGGCUCGUAAAGCUCUGUUGUUGGUGAAGAAGGACGGGGGUAGUAACUGACCUUUGUUUGACGGUAAUCAAUUAGAAAGUCACGGCUAACUACGUGCCAGCAGCCGCGGUAAUACGUAGGUGGCAAGCGUUGUCCGGAUUUAUUGGGCGUAAAGCGAGUGCAGGCGGUUCGAUAAGUCUGAUGUGAAAGCCUUCGGCUCAACCGGAGAAUUGCAUCAGAAACUGUCGAGCUUGAGUACAGAAGAGGAGAGUGGAACUCCAUGUGUAGCGGUGAAAUGCGUAGAUAUAUGGAAGA
rnacentral:rRNA from 1 species